AGUAGAGAGACGUGGAGUGCAUCCCUCUCCACAGAUGCAUUGGGAAUGCACGGAAGAACACAGUCAUUCCCACAGAGAACCAGCUGAACACCAGCAGACGGCCUCGGACACCGGAAAGGGCUGCGGAGAACCUGACAUAGCCGUGUGAGAAGAGUGAUCAGGUCCAGGUAUUAGAGUAUGCACAUUAAAAGCCAAGUUUCAAAGAGAUCUCAGUAAUGGAUGGAGGACACAGAUCAACAGGUUGAAUUUGCCCCUAAUUUGAAGAAAGUCUUUUUAGAUGGAAAUGAGAGAAAGAUCUCAAAGUCUUUGAACAACUAUCGGAAAUAUAGUAGAUAUCAUAGAUUGUAAGAACAACCUCUAUUCUAAUAGUUUUGAUGGGGAAAACACAAUCAAAAUGGAUAAACACAUCAAAGACGUAUUCCAAGUGAAGAAAGAAAUACAUGUGAAAAUAUGCAACUUAAAAUCAGAGAUAAGAUGGAUAUUAUAAAUCUCUGAAAACACAUAUAAGACUGAAAAAAUAUCAACUGUACUCCAACUAUUAAAAACAUCCAUUAUUAAUAACUGACAGCUCUACAUCUUCAAACUGUGACUAGGACAUUGCGCUCCUUGAUGGCAUAAACUUGGACUGUUUGUUACCAGCAUUUAAAACAGUACCUGUGAUUUCACUGAAUCCAUCUCUGAACUUAAUGGCAGCAAAUGACCUAGGUGAAACCAACUAAUAUACCCUAUCCGGCUGGAGCUGCCAAUAGCCAUAGGUAUCUCCUUUUCCCCACCCCCCCCCCCCAGGAAUUAUGUCCCAAAACGGAACCAUACAAAGGAGAGUAAUGCUAAGAAAUGGAGAGAGAAUAUCGUAAACUAUAAUUUGGGGGACUGGGUCUAAAGCCAUUUCAUAAUUUUAAAUUUCUGAGUUUUGUUAGCCAAUAAAUUCCCUUUG